rfam:Oryza rufipogon genomic scaffold, chr06
AAAAAGACAAACCUGGUUUCCGUGCCCAACGUUUGACCAUUCGUCUUAUUUGAAAAAAUUAUGAAAAAAAUUAAAAAGACAAGUCACGCAUAAAAUAUUAAUCAUAAUCAUGUUUUAUCAUCUAACAACAAUGAAAAUACGAAUUAUAAAAAAAUUUCAUAUAAAACGGAUAGUCAAAGUUGGACACGAAAACCCAGGGUUUGUCUUUUU